UCAGAUACAAGUCCAGGAAGGACGCGGAUUUGCCGUUUGCUCUUUUUCCAACAUUGCUCCAUGAAUGGCUGGUGACUGGAGGCCCAUAUCAGAGCUUGUUACGUUCAUCAUACAGUCCAAUGCCUAAAGCUUUACUGUGUUGGUUAGGGGAUGGAAAUGAAAACAUGUAAAAAAAUUAUUUUAUGAAGAGAUGGAAGAGAGUAGGGAUACACUGGUACACUUCUACAUCAGCAACACAUAAAAGAUGGAGAAACUGAGGAUUAGGACUACUUGCUCAAGACCACAGAACUAACAAUCUAGUAUUGGACAUACAUCACUCUCUCUCAUCAGACUCGGGGCUGAAAUCUAGCCAGACAGGACCUACAGUGA